UACAGAGGUCCCAAGCGUUGUUCGGAUUCAUUGGGCGUAAAGGGUGCGUAGGCGGCGCGGGAAGUCGGGUGUGAAAUCUCGGAGCUUAACUCCGAAACUGCAUUCGAUACUGCCGUGCUUGAGGACUGGAGAGGAGACUGGAAUUUACGGUGUAGCGGUGAAAUGCGUAGAUAUCGUAAGGAAGACCAGUGGCGAAGGCGGGUCUCUGGGCCGUAACUGACGCUGAGGAGCGAAAGCAUGGGGAGCGAACAGG
rnacentral:rRNA from 1 species